GCGAAUGGCUCAUUAAAUCAGUUAUCGUUUAUUUGAUAGUACCUUACUACUUGGAUAACCGUGGUAAUUCUAGAGCUAAUACAUGCUAAAAACCCCAACUUCGGGAGGGGUGUAUUUAUUAGAUAAAAAACCAAUGCCCUUCGGGGCUCCUUGGUGAUUCAUGAUAACUUCUCAGAUCGCAUAGCCUUGAGCUGGCGACGGUUCAUUCAAAUUUCUGCCCUAUCAACUUUCGAUGGUAAGGUAGUGGCUUACCAUGGUUUCAACGGGUAACGGGGAAUUAGGGUUCGAUUCCGGAGAGGGAGCCUGAGAAACGGCUACCACAUCCAAGGAAGGCAGCAGGCGCGCAAAUUACCCAAUUCCGAUACGGAGAGGUAGUGACAAUAAAUACUGAUACAGGGCUCUUUUGGGUCUUGUAAUUGGAAUGAGUACAAUUUAAACCUCUUAACGAGGAACAAUUGGAGGGCAAGUCUGGUGCCAGCAGCCGCGGUAAUUCCAGCUCCAAUAGCGUAUAUUAAAGUUGUUGCAGUUAAAAAGCUCGUAGUUGAACCUUUGGCCUGGCUGGCAGGUCCGCCUCACCGCGUGCACUUGACCGGCCGGGCCUUUCUUUCUGGAGAACCGCAUGCCCUUCACUGGGUGUGUUGGGGACCAGGACUUUUACUUUGAAAAAAUUAGAGUGUUCAAAGCAGGCCUUUGCUCGAAUACGUUAGCAUGGAAUAAUAGAAUAGGACGUCGCGGUCCUAUUUUGUUGGUUUCUAGGACCGCCGUAAUGAUUAAUAGGGACAGUCGGGGGCAUCAGUAUUCAAUUGUCAGAGGUGAAAUUCUUGGAUUUAUUGAAGACUAACUACUGCGAAAGCAUUUGCCAAGGAUGUUUUCAUUAAUCAGUGAACGAAAGUUAGGGGAUCGAAGACGAUCAGAUACCGUCGUAGUCUUAACCAUAAACUAUGCCGACUAGGGAUCGGGCGGUGUUUCUAAUGUGACCCGCUCGGCACCUUACGAGAAAUCAAAG
rnacentral:rRNA from 1 species